rnacentral:rRNA from 1 species
UACGAAGGGGGCUAGCGUUGCUCGGAAUCACUGGGCGUAAAGGGUGCGUAGGCGGGUCUUUAAGUCAGGGGUGAAAUCCUGGAGCUCAACUCCAGAACUGCCUUUGAUACUGAAGAUCUUGAGUUCGGGAGAGGUGAGUGGAACUGCGAGUGUAGAGGUGAAAUUCGUAGAUAUUCGCAAGAACACCGGUGGCGAAGGCGGCUCUCUGGACCGUAACUGACGCUGAGGCGCGAAAGCGUGGGGAGCAAACAGG